CACUAUGCUUAGCCCUAAACUUUGAUAAUUUCAUAACAAAAUUAUUCGCCAGAGAACUACAAGCCAAAGCUUAAAACUCAAAGGACUUGGCGGUGCUUUAUACCCACCUAGAGGAGCCUGUUCCGUAAUCGAUAAACCCCGAUAAACCUUACCACUCUUUGCCAACUCAGCCUAUAUACCGCCAUCUUCAGCGAACCCUAAAAAGGAGAAAAAGUAAGCUCAAUUACUACCGUAAAAACGUUAGGUCAAGGUGUAGCCCAUAGAGUGGAGAGCAAUGGGCUACAUUUUCUACUUCAGAAUAUACGAAAGCCCUUAUGAAACUCUAAGGGCCAAAGGAGGAUUUAGUAGUAAUUUAAGAAUAGAGUGCUUAAUUGAACAAGGCCAUGAAGCACGC
rnacentral:rRNA from 1 species